rnacentral:lncRNA from 1 species
GAACAAUCUCUGGACUCGGUGCCUCUGUGUGAUGCGAGGCUCUCCCUCUGAUGUGCUUUCCAGAAUCACUGCCGUCAAAUGCUAGAGAGGCAUUUCUUAAAGUUAAUCUCUCCCUUUGGCUCUCGUGAAAACAUCCAAGUGUUUCUUUCCUGUGAGUCACCAGCACAGGUCAAGUCAACUUAGGAGAGCACAGGCCACAGUAGCAGCAGAGCAGCUGGGACAGGCUCCUACAGUUCUGCAUCUGCAGCCAGAAGGUGGAGCUGAUUCUUAGUCCUCUGUACACCUUCUCUGCCACAGGAGAGCUUGGCUCCAGGAAGAGUCUGACCCGGGGACCUCAGGUGCUUCUCAGCCAUUCGUUAUUCCUCGGGUGAGAAUUCUUUGUUGAGCUCUGAGCCCCAUUUUUAAUGGGGUUAUUUGAUUUGGUACAGCAACAGACAAGUAGACCAAUGGAAUAGAACUGAAGACCCAGAAAUGAACCCACACACCUACGGUCACUUGAUCUUCGACAAGGGAGCUAAAACCAUCCAGUGGAAAAAAGACAGCAUUUUCAACAAAUGAUGCUGGCACAACUGGCGAUUAUCAUGUAGAAGAAUGCGAAUUGAUCUGUUCCUAUCUCCUUGUACUAAGGUCAAAUCUAAGUGGAUCAAGGAAUUCCACAUAAAAGCAGAGACAGUUAAA